GAAAUACGUUAGGUGAGUGCGCAAGGACAGACAGAAGAUAAGGGAAUUGCGGUGUUUUGGCUUUUUUAUUUCACCUUCUGAAGAGAGCACGGUCGUGCAGCGGCAGCAAUGGCAUUGGAAUCUGGAGCGUGGCAGAGGUUGGAGCUGGCAGGACUUUGAUGUUUGAGGAGGAGUAGUUGGUGAGCCCGGAUGGUGGUUUAAUGGUGAGGGACUCAGCCCAGCACGGAGGAGACUGUGCUCUCGUGGAGAGUGCGGACCCAGUGACCAUGCUAUCAAAUUUGUCCAGGCUUAGUGGUUUUGUACUGCCUGAUGCUGGAUAUAUUUAAUGUUUUCCCAACUGUUCUCCGAUACCCAAGGAGGUGGUUAACAAAUGGCUUGAUGGGUUAAGGAUUACUUUUCUAACACAGUGUUACGGCAUUGAAAGCUUGCAGAAUACCUCAGAAAUUUGAAGCUGUUGGAAAGCCUUCUACACCUGCAUUUAUCUGAAAACAAAAUGUAUCUAUCCAUCCCACUUUGGGCAGAGUGGGUUAAUUAGUCUAAAUAUCUCUGUCAAUAAACCUUAAAUUGACUGAA